CUUUUUGUCCCCUCCUUGCUGGUCUUCUAAGCAGAUUGAAGGAGCUUCAUCUCAUUCCUGGUUCAUCCUGAUUCCCUCAGUGGCUUGCUCCUGCAUUAGUAAUGUAAAACUGGCCCAAAAGGGUUUAAAAUUGUCAGAAGUUGAUCUUGAUCAGUUCAAAUAUUUUUUGACAAAGAAAAUCAGUUCUGGUCAGUUCAAAUCUAUUUUGACCAGUUUAAACCAAUUCUGCAGAACUCGAGCCUGCGGUCGGUAAACGCAGGAAGAUGGCUGAAGACUAUGCUGAUUCAAGCCAAAGCAAGGAAUCAGCUAUAGAAAAGUUAUUAAAAAGAAAAAAUCAUGAAGAAAAGAAACAGAAAGUAGAUCAUGGAAUCUGUCUGAUCUUCUUUUCCUAUGUAAUCAAGAAAGCCUGGACAGAGAAUUAUUAGUGGUGGUGAGGUCUCUCAGCCUUCAGAUGGGUUCAGAGGUGCUGUCCAGGAUUCAGGGUCUUGCAAAGAGAUACGUAAAUAGAAUGCUCCACAAUAUGUGAAGAUAUUAGUGUCCCUUGUGAAUGCUCAACAAAGAGUGACAUGAGCAGAGGAGGAUUUGAAUAAUCAGGAUGGGCCGCAAAGGAGAUUCUUCUAAGAUUUCAGAAGUUGGAAGGGAAGCAGAAUCCAUUUGAUAACACAAACACAUUAUUGCUUAUCUGUUGACUCAACUUGGGAUGAAGCAGCAGUUGAGCCAGUUGUGUGUGUAGAGCUCAAGGACAAAGGUCCUUAGCUUCUGCAGAAUACUAUCAUCACCAAGCUCACAGGCUUCUAGAGCAGACAUAUGCUUCAGUCCAUUCUGUGGGCUUCCAGCUUCUACUCUUGGAGUUCCAGCCUUUUUUAUGAUAUUACCUUUCUAACUGCUUAUGCUGUGGACUUCAAGCACUUGAAUCAGAUGUAGAGACAUUAUAUGGACUGCUUGAGUAGCCCCCGCAACUGUGUAAGCCAAAUCCCUGUAACAAGUAUUUAUCCGUCCAUCCGUUCACCUGUCUGUCUAUCUAUCAAUCUAUUGAUCUAUCUAGCUAUAUUAGUCCUUUCUUGCACUCUAUAAAGUGCUACACAAGACCGGAUAAUUUAUAAAG